rnacentral:lncRNA from 1 species
GGAAUCCAGUAGAUAAGGCUGCUUGUGGUGCUCCAAACCCCAGGUUAUAUCCAGGUAGGAAUGCUUGGCUCCUCCCUCUGGGCAGAGCAUCUCACAAUGGGAGGAUAUAAUUUUAUCAGUCAUACAGAGACUUGAUGGCCCAUUAACAGAAGAUAUCACCCCCAGAGAGAGUUAUGAGGGAUGGGUCAUGGAAGAGAUAAAGAACACUGGCCCACCUGGUUUUAACAGAUAGAAUACAUACUUAGGGAUCUGUGCUGGGGCCAGUUCUGUUUAAUAUUUUUGUUGAUGACAUGGAUGAGGGCUUUGAGUCCUUUAUUAGCAAAUUUGCAGAUGACACUAAGCUGGGAACGUGUGUUGACCUGUUAGAGGGACAAAGGGCUUUGCAGAGGGACUUGGAACGGUUGGAUGGAUGGGCAGAAUCUAAUGGGAUGAAGUUCAAUAAGUCCAAGUGCCAAGUCCUGCACUUUGGCCACAAUAACCCCCUGCAAGGAUAUAAGCUAGGAACGGUAUGGCUGGACAGUGCUCAGGGGGAAAGGGACCUGGGGGUGCUGGUUGACAGUCGGCUGAACAUGAGCCAGCAGUGUGCCCAGGUGGCCAAGAAGGCCAAUGGCAUCCUGGCCAGUAUCAGGAACGGUGUAGCCAGCAGGAGCAGGGAGGUCAUUCUUCCCCUGUACUCAGCGCUAGUGAGGCCUCACCUGGAGCAUUGCAUCCAGUUCUGGGCCCCUCACUUUAGGAGGGACAUUGAGAUGCUUGAGCGUGUCCAAAGGAGAGCAAUGAGGCUGGUGAGGGGCUUGGAACACAAGCCAUAUGAAGAACGACUGAGGGAGCUGGGGUUGUUCAGCCUGGAGAAAAGGAGACUCAGGGGUGACCUUAUCACUCUCUUCAAUUUCCUAAAGGGUGGCUGUGGUGAGCUGGGGGUCGGUCUCUUUCUCCGAGCAACAACAGACAGAACAAGAGGACACAGUCUCAAGCUGCGCCAAGGGAGAUACAGGCUAGAAUUAAGGAGGAAGUAUUUUACAGAAAGAGUGGUCAAAUACUGGAAUCAUCU